CCAAUGACGAUGAACGGAAGAGUAGUUAUAUCCCGGUACUUACAGCGAGCUGGAAAUGGUGUGAGCCAGCAGUAGCGAAUAUAAUGAAAAUCAUCCGCGAGUUGCGGGCUGAAGGUUUAGUAGGCUGCGCCGGGUUCUCUUCGGGAGAAAUUGCCGCCCGUUACUGCGGCGAGGUAUCGAGUUUAUACUCCGUACCUAUGAGCGGCUAUGGGUAAUACCAUAGUAAAUUGGGUGGUAUCGCGGAUUAAUCUCCGUCCCUUGU
rfam:Sporomusa sphaeroides DSM 2875 SPSPH_contig000007, whole genome shotgun sequence.